AAAAACUGCGUAGGAGAUCAUUAAUACAAAAGUAUUAUAUAAACCAAACCUGAUGUUGCCAGCUCCUUCAAUGAAUGCAGCAGUGUGACAGCCAGCAAUCAAAAGUAACAAGAUAUCGAGGAAAUGCAGAAGGCAAAAAACUGCAUAGGAGAUCAUUAAUACAAUAGUAUUAUAUAAACCAAGCCUGAUGUUGGCCGCUCAUUCAAAGAAUGCAGCAGUGUGACAGCCAGCAAUCAAAAGUAACAAGAUGUCGAGGAAAUGCAGAGUGCAAUAAACUUUGUAGGAGAUUAUGAUUGCAAUAGAAUAAAAUCGACCAAGCCUGAAGUUCUUCAAUGCACGCAGCAGUGUGACAGCCAGCAAUCAAAAGUUACAAGAUAUCGAGGAGAUUAUGAUUGCAAUAAAAUAAAAUCGACCAAGCCUGAAGUUCUUCAAUGCACGCAGCAGUGUGACAGCCAGCAAUCAAAAGUUACAAGAUAUCGAGGAAAUGCAGAAGGCAAAAAACUGCGUAGGAGAUUAUUAAUACAAUAGUAUUAUAUCAACCAAGCCUGAUGUCGGUAGCUUCUUCAAUGAAUGCAGCAGUGUGACAGCCAGCAAUCAAUAGUGAUAGUGACAAGAAUCUAGGAAAUACAGAAGGCAAU